rnacentral:rRNA from 1 species
GCUACUUUGCCGGCGAGCGGCGGACGGGUGAGUAAUGUCUGGGAAACUGCCUGAUGGAGGGGGAUAACUACUGGAAACGGUAGCUAAUACCGCAUAAUGUCGCAAGACCAAAGAGGGGGACCUUCGGGCCUCUUGCCAUCAGAUGUGCCCAGAUGGGAUUAGCUAGUAGGUGGGGUAACGGCUCACCUAGGCGACGAUCCCUAGCUGGUCUGAGAGGAUGACCAGCCACACUGGAACUGAGACACGGUCCAGACUCCUACGGGAGGCAGCAGUGGGGAAUAUUGCACAAUGGGCGCAAGCCUGAUGCAGCCAUGCCGCGUGUAUGAAGAAGGCCUUCGGGUUGUAAAGUACUUUCAGCGGGGAGGAAGGUGUUGAGGUUAAUAACCUCAGCAAUUGACGUUACCCGCAGAAGAAGCACCGGCUAACUCCGUGCCAGCAGCCGCGGUAAUACGGAGGGUGCAAGCGUUAAUCGGAAUUACUGGGCGUAAAGCGCACGCAGGCGGUCUGUCAAGUCGGAUGUGAAAUCCCCGGGCUCAACCUGGGAACUGCAUUCGAAACUGGCAGGCUAGAGUCUUGUAGAGGGGGGUAGAAUUCCAGGUGUAGCGGUGAAAUGCGUAGAGAUCUGGAGGAAUACCGGUGGCGAGGGCGGCCCCGUGGACAAAGACUGACGCUCAGGUG